GUUCAGUGCCCAACUAAACCCAGUAUGUACUGGUUCAGAACUGAAUCAGAACGAUUUGAUCCAGGCAUUAUUUACACUCAGAGGAACAUCAGCGACAAAGAUUUGGAAAGAAGCUGCUCCUACAGUUUAUCUGUACGAGACUCAUCUGAUGCUGGACUUUACUACAGCGCUGUGGUCACAUGUGGAUCAAUCCUCUUUGGUGAAGGAACCAAAGUGGAGACAAGACAAGAUGGUAACAUCCUUGCCAUUGCACUUGGAGGACUGUUGGCCUGCUGUGUUAUUGUUGUAGUCCUGCUAAUUUUCUACAUUAAACAAAAAAUAAAUUAUGAACAAAGCAAAGGUGAGUUUUACAUAUUCAGAUACAAACAGUGUAGAUCCUUUAAAAUUAAUUAUACAUUUGAUGUUGCUUUUAAAAAUUGUUUAUGUUAAAAAUUAUAAUCAAAAUCUCUGCUUUUUUGACAUGCAAAUGCUAUGUGUGCAACACUGCACCAUCCCCACCAUGAAGCAUGUGGUGACAGUAUCAUGCUGUGGGAGUACUUUCUUCAGUGGUAGCAGUGCCACACUUUUCAGAUUUUAAUUUAAAUCAAAUUUGUAUUCUUUUAUUUUCAUUACACAGUUACACGAACAGGCCACAGCAGGUUCAAAUUGUUUGAAGGUGCCAACAGGCGUGUGUGUGUGUGUGGGGUGGGGCCUUAAAAUAUAGGGCAUUCAUCAUGCUAAAGAAAAUGCUAAACAAAAACAUCCUAAUAACAUACAAUGAAGUGUGUAAUAUAUUGUAUCUCUCCUUCACAGGUUUAACUUAUUUUUGGUCAUGUUGGAUUUUUCCAUGUCAGUGAGCUUAAUUGCUUAAUAGAUUUUCUACAACACAAGAUAAAACAAAAAAUUAUAAUCCUUCACUGCACAGAAAACUAACAAUAUAAAAAGAGGAAACAUAUGGAAAUAAUUAUUUAGAGUUGUUGUUCUUUAAAGGUCAAACUGGUGUUCCCAGUCCAGUGGAGGAUGACAAAUCAAGAAUUGUUCAGUUAAGAAACUUGGAUGGUGAAGCAGUAGAAGCAAACUAUGCAUCGGUGCAAACCAGGGUUAGAAGACCCAAUGAGAAGAGACAGCAGCGACAAGAAUGUGUUUACUCUGCAGUCAGAUCAGAUGAUCACCAAAAGCUCUCUUCACUCUAAUUAUAACACCACUCUUACAUUUGUUGCACAAAUGUAAGAGUGUAACAAAAACAAUUUUAACUUUUGUUGCAUCUUCACUGUUUUUUUUUCAAGCACAACUUGUAUUUUCUUCAAUCAUUUUGUAGUAUCAGUCUAUUGUAACUGACAAAAACAACAGCUGUUUUGCU